rnacentral:rRNA from 1 species
UGACCUCAAAUCAGGUAGGACUACCCGCUGAACUUAAGCAUAUCAAUAAGCGGAGGAAAAGAAACUAACAAGGAUUCCCCUAGUAACUGCGAGUGAAGCGGGAAAAGCUCAAAUUUAAAAUCUGGCGGUCUUGCGGCCGUCCGAGUUGUAAUCUGGAGAAGCGUCUAUCCGCGCCGGACCGUGUACAAGUCUUCUGGAAGGGAGCGUCGUAGAGGGUGAGAAUCCCGUCUUUGACACGGACAACCGGUGCUUUUGUGAUGCGCUCUCGAAGAGUCGAGU